rnacentral:misc_RNA from 1 species
GAUGAAGAACGCAGCGAAAUGCGAUAAGUAAUGUGAAUUGCAGAAUUCAGUGAAUCAUCGAAUCUUUGAACGCACAUUGCGCCCGCCAGUAUUCUGGCGGGCAUGCCUGUUCGAGCGUCAUUUCAACCAUCAAGCCCCAGGCUUGUGUUGGGGACCUGCGGCUGCCGCAGGCCCUGAAAACCAGUGGCGGGCUCGCUGUCACACCGGGCGUAGUAGAUUUUAUCUCGCUCAGGGCGUGCUGCGGAUUCCGGCCGUUAAAAAGCCUUUUUUACCCAAGGUUGACCUCGGAUCAGGUAGGAAGACCCGCUGAACUUAAGCAUAUCAAUAAGCGGAGGA